AUACAGAAAGACACCCCACAGCACACCUGAGCAAGGGGCAGAAGCAUCCAUGUCAGCAAGUGUGGGGAGAAGCCCCAGAGCUGGAGGGCUCUGCUUUGAGAUUCGGGCUGAGUGGAUGAAGCAGUCUGAGCAGGCUGCACAGGAAAUCGGAGCUUUCGGUGCUAAAUGCUCUGCUUUGUGAGGUUCGGAUCACAGAGAAAGCUGGAGUCGUGGGCGCCGGGGACAAAGGCUGAAUUGGGGAACUCCAUCCUGCUCCAGGGAGCAAACAUCUCUGGCUAUGCCUUCCACACCCACAGAGCACAGAUCUGUUCCAUCACUUGGUCAAGACGAACUUGAGCCCGCCUGCUCCUUCUGCAUUUUCAAAUUGGAUGCUGUGAGGGAGGAGGAGCCGAGAUCUCUCCUGAUGCUGAGAGUCCAUCUUUGGACUUUUAAUGAAAGCUCUGCUGAAGCAGACCACUCAGCUCAGACAAGUGUGGGAGGCAUUUUCUCCUUUACAGAGCAGAGAUCUCAUGGGCAGUUGCUGGAGAGAAAUGAGGUGUCACGGGGGCUGGUGGGAUGAGCUGUCUCUUGCCCACUGUUGGGGGAGUCUCUGAUCCAUACCAGGUUCCAAGGCAGUGGUGCCUAGUGGUCCUCUACAUGCCUGGCAGAAUCUACUGGACUAGAAGGUACUGGCCCUGUCCUCAAGGUGUUUGGAAACUUUUGCUCAGGCCUUACAACUGUUUUGAAGAGUAGCGGUCAUCAGUGCUGUGCUUUGACAGUAUCAGGCUUGAAUUAAGUUCCAAAGCGUGACUCCACAGCGUCCUCUUCAAGCAAUUCUGUCAGAGGCUAGUGACCCUUGUGUCCAAGAGGCUUGAACCAGCCACAAGCCAGGAGUAGAAACUAACGCAUGAGCAAAUAAUGCCAGGCACCCUGGUGACCAGCCACACAGAGCUCUGGAUGCCUGAAGAUUCCACCCCCAGGGAAGCACGGCUUGCUUCUAGGUGAAAGCUAGCCUCUUGAGUUUUCCUUGCCUCCCUCGGCUUCCCCAUGUGGAGUAGUAUCGGUCACUUCGUCUGCCUUACUGAUUAGUUCUGCGAACUUGCCAGGUGUUCACUCAUUGUUUCACUUCAUCUUUUGUAACUUCUGCAAACACCAGAGUGUCACCCUUGGGUGACCAAUGAUGUUGAUGUGGGAAGGAGUGCAGCCGGCAUGGCUGGGCCCAGGAGCUGGCUUCAAACGAAGCGGAGACAGAGGGCAUGCACAUGACUCCAUACUGAGGUCAUCGUUUAUGAGUUCAUCAAGGGAAUGCAAAACACACGUCAUAGGGACAGAUAAGCGAGAACUUGCCAGAGGAAGGGAUGUGUGAGCGGGACCUCGAGGGUUUCUGUUUUUUCACCAUUUGGGUCCUGCACAUUGCAAUCCAGUGGUUGGACUCGGCAGCAAGCACCUUUACCCAUGGAACCCUCUCACCGGCUCCGAACUUACAGCAUUUUUAUAACGACUUCAUCAGGAUGUACCCUCAUCCUAAAUCAAGAGCAUCCAUACAACACUACAAGACCACAGUGUUGCACGUUAGAAGGGCAGAUUUUUGCCUUAGUUAGCCUUAGUUAAAGGUAUUUAUGAUAAAAAUUCAAGGGAAUAAAGAAAAACAGGAAGUGA